rnacentral:ncRNA from 1 species
AUAACAAUACCGGGCUCUAUGAGUCUGGUAAUUGGAAUGAGUACAAUCUAAAUCCCUUAAAGAGGAUCCAUUGGAGGGCAAGUCUGGUGCCAGCAGCCGCGGUAAUUCCAGCUCCAA